UACGGGGGGGGCAAGCGUUGUUCGGAAUUACUGGGCGUAAAGGGCUCGUAGGUGGCCAACUAAGUCGGACGUGAAAUCCCUCAGCUUAACUGGGGAACUGCGUCCGAUACUGGAUGGCUCGAGUUUGGGAGAGGGAUGCGGAAUUCCAGGUGUAGCGGUGAAAUGCGUAGAGAUCCGGAGGAACACCGACGGCGCAGGCAGCGUCCUGGCCGCUUGCUGACACUGAGGCACGAAAGCUGGGGGAGCAAACAGG
rnacentral:rRNA from 1 species